rnacentral:RNase_P_RNA from 1 species
CAAGUAGGCUGAGUGGUCGCGGGCGGCUGUAUUGGCUGCCUGAGGAAAGUCCGAGCUCCACAGGGCAGGGUGCUGGGUAACACCCAGUGGAGGCGACUCCAAGGAAAGUGCCACAGAAAUCAAACCGCCCGUCUAUGGCGGGUAAGGAUGAAACGGUGCGGUAAGAGCGCACCAGCGCGCAGGCGACUGUGCGGCUAGGCAAACCCCACCCGGAGCAAGACCAAGUAGGAGAGGCACAGGGCGGCCCGUCCUUCUCUCGGGUUAGGUCGCUGGAGGCCCACGGCAACGUGGGUCCAAGAUAGAUGACCGCUCUCGACAGAACUCGGCUUAUAGGCCUGCUUGCGUC